rnacentral:lncRNA from 1 species
GAGAAGAAGUGUUAUUGAUAAUAAGAUCAGUUGCGGUGUUAAUCUAAUCAAUGCGGACAACGUAAAAACACCGCUUACAUAUUUUAUCUAUAAAAAAACAAACCACUCUUUGCAACAAACUGAAACAUCCUUUUAUUACACUACAACUACCACAUAUCUAGAAACUCCUAAAAACAGAUGUGCAACACACUCUUCACAGCUCAUGAAGCUAAUACAAACAUUUCACAUUUGUAUAAACUUUGGAUUAGUCGGUCUUUAUAUCUGCAUUUCUGAUAGUCUCUGGGUAUAAGACAUUUUGUGCACCAGUAUAAUCCGCUACUUUCUUGCUAAGUGCAUCCUUCGGUGAAGUUUCCGGCCCAGUCAGAUACAUUAACCUGUACAUCCACUCCAGCACCUCCGGGCAAAACACCUUCCACAAGUAGCUAACUCUAAACCAAGCAGGUAUAGUCACGUAUCUUUCCCCUCGACAAUCCGGCCCAGUCAGAUACAUUAUCCUGUACAUCCACUCCACCACCUCCGGGCAAAACACCUUCCACAAGUAGCUAACUCUAAACCAAGCAGGUAUAGUCACGUAUCUUUCCCCUCGACAAGCACUAUUCACAAUUGUCUUAGCACAUGAUUCCGCCUUCGCCACUGGAGUCGCGCUUAUUAAUACCUGUAGGUUCAAACAUUCACUUUCUUGUCAACACGUCGCUGAAAAGAAGUAAACAUAAUUCUUUACAAAGGCAAAUGAUGGAACAUUAGUCUUAACCAAAUAUUAAAUAGAUUACUGAAGAAACAUGCUCUCUGCUGUGCUCUGCCCUUCUUCUGUGACUGCUUUAGCUGCUACUAGUAUUAUUUAGUCUAAUUCAUAUUUUAAAAUGGAAUUGACAAAUUAUCAUCAUCCAUUCUACACUCAUUGCUUGCUGCAAAAAGGAAAACUUAAAUAAAAAAAUACACUCGUAAUAGACCCAUCUUUUAGAAGGUGUAAUUAACUAAUUACAUGUAUUAAUCACCAUGAAAAUAAUUUUUACACCGUCAACAUUUCAUAGAUGCUAUGGCAGACUAAAACGGUCCUUUACUACCUUUAUCUAGUUCACUAAAUAAGAUUUACUACUCACGGUAAAGCUAGUUAAUGACCGUCGCACAUUGAAAUGUAGAAACUAGGCAAAAAAGGAAACAAAGACGAAAACUUA